AGCUUUGCGCAGUGGCAGUAUCGUAGCCAAUGAGGUUUAUCCGAGGCGCGAUUAUUGCUAAUUGAAAAAUCAAAUGACCAUAAAUGUAAGGGUUUAUUUCUGAACUCUAUAGUUCUAGAAUUAUUUUAUGCUUCAAUA